UACGUAGGGGGCAAGCGUUAACCGGAAUUAUUGGGCGUAAAGCGCGCGUAGGCGGUUUUUAAAGUCGGAUGUGAAAGCCCCCGGCUCAACCGUGGAGGUUCAUUGGAAACUGGAAGACUUGAGUGCUGAAGAGGAAAGUGGAAUUCCAUGUGUAGCGGUGAAAUGCGUAGAGAUCUGGAGGAAUACCAGUGGCGAAGGCGACGGCCUGGAC
rnacentral:rRNA from 1 species